rnacentral:rRNA from 1 species
CCUACGGGAGGCAGCAGUGGGGAAUAUUGGGCAAUGGAGGCAACUCUGACCCAGCAACGCCGCGUGAAUGAUGAAGGUCUUCGGAUUGUAAAGUUCUUUUCUAAGGGAAGAAGAAAGUGACGGUACCUUAGGAAUAAGCCUCGGCUAACUACGUGCCAGCAGCCGCGGUAAGACGUAGGAGGCAAGCGUUAUCCGGAAUGACUGGGCGUAAAGGGUGCGUAGGUGGUCUGACAAGUUAGUAGCGAAACUCCGGAGCUCAACUUCGGAACUACUACUAAAACUGUUGGGCUUGAGUGCAGUAGAGGUGGGCGGAAUUCGUGGUGUAGCGGUGAAAUGCGUAGAUAUCACGAGGAACUCCGAUUGCGAAGGCAGUUCACUGGACUGCAACUGACACUGAGGCUCGAAAGUGUGGGUAUCAAACAGGAUUAGAUACCCUUGUAGUC